GACGAACGCUGGCGGCGUGCUUAACACAUGCAAGUCGAACGGAAAGGCCCUGCUUUUGUGGGGUGCUCGAGUGGCUAACGGGUGAGUAACACGUGAGUAACCUGCCCUUGACUUUGGGAUAACUUCAGUAAACUUGGGCUAAUACCGGUUAUGAGCUCCUGCUGCAUGGUGGGGGUUGGAAAGUUUCGGCGGUUGGGGAUGGACUCGCGGCUUAUCAGCUUGUUGGUGGGGUAGUGGCUUACCAAGGCUUUGACGGGUAGCCGGCCUGAGAGGGUGACCGGCCACAUUGGGAAUGAGAUACGGCCAAGACUCCUACGGGAGGCAGCAGUGAGGAAUAUUGCACAAUGGGCGGAAGCCUGAUGCAGCAACGCCGCGUGCGGGAUGACGGCCUUCGGGUUGUAAACCGCUUUCGCCUGUGACGAAGCGUGAGUGACGGUAAUGGGUAAAGAAGCACCGGCUAACUACGUG
rnacentral:rRNA from 1 species